AAAUUGAAGAGUUUGAUCAUGGCUCAGAUUGAACGCUGGCGGCAGGCCUAACACAUGCAAGUCGAGCGGUAGCACAGAGAGCUUGCUCUCGGGUGACGAGCGGCGGACGGGUGAGUAAUGUCUGGGAAACUGCCUGAUGGAGG
rnacentral:rRNA from 2 species